AGAGUUUGAUCCUGGCUCAGAUUGAACGCUGGCGACGUGCUUAACACAUGCAAGUCGUGCGAGAAAGGAGACUUCGGUCUCUGAGUAGAGCGGCGCACGGGUGAGUAACGCGUGGAUGAUCUACCCUUGAGUUCGGGAUAACGGUGCGAAAGCGCCGCUAAUACCGUAUAACAAUCCAUUUCAUCGCGGGUUCAAAGCAGGCCUCUUCAUGAAAGCUUGCGCUUGGGGAUGAGUCCGCGUCCCAUUAGCUUGUUGGCGGGGUAACGGCCCACCAAGGCUACGAUGGGUAGCUGGUCUGAGAGGAUGAUCAGCCACACUGGAACUGAAACACGGUCCAGACUCCUACGGGAGGCAGCAGUGGGGAAUAUUGCGCAAUGGGGGAAACCCUGACGCAGCGACGUCGUGUGAGGGAAGAAGGCCUUCGGG
rnacentral:rRNA from 1 species